rnacentral:piRNA from 1 species
ACAGACAGUAUCUGAGUAUCUUCUAGGGC